rnacentral:tRNA from 1 species
GCGGAGGUGGCACAAUGGCACUGCAUUCGGUUGCAACCCGGAUUUCCGUGGGUUCGAUUCCCACCCUCCGCU